CCAAUAGCGUAUAUUAAAGUUGUUGCAGUUAAAAAGCUCGUAGUUGAAUUUUGGAUUCUUCCAAUUGGUCCAUCUUUUAGAUGAGUACUGGUUGUGUGGGGUCUAUCCGCCUGGUGAUACGUAAUGUCCUUUAUUGGAUGUUGCGGGUAGUCAGGACCUUUACCUUGAAAAAAUUAGAGUGUUUAAAGCAGGCUUAUGCCGGAAUACAUUAGCAUGGAAUAAUAGAAUAGGACGAAGUUGUUUUAUUUUGUUGGUUUCUAGGACAACCGUAAUGAUUAAUAGGGAUAGUUGGGGGCAUUAGUAUUCAAUUGUCAGAGGUGAAAUUCUUGGAUUAAUUGAAGACUAACUACUGCGAAAGCAUUUGCCAAGGAUGUUUUCAUUAAUCAAGAACGAAAGUUAGGGGAUCGAAGACGAUCAGAUACCGUCGUAGUCUUAACCAUAAACUAUGCCGACUAGGGAUCGGGCGAUGUUGUUUCCAUGACUCGCUCGGCACCUUAUG
rnacentral:rRNA from 1 species